CCAGCCAUUUUUAUAAGCGUAUUGUGUUAAUAAUCUAGUAUUCAAGUAUGAGUAUGCUGGUUUAUUUUUAGAGAUCCCCUUCCUAUCUCUUGGCUAGGCUAAAUUUUAGAUUUUACUAUUUUGUCCCUCGUUAAUUUAAAUGAUAUGAAGUUUGGGUUCCAUCGGUCCUAAAAGUGUACAUAACUUGUGAGGGGUGUAAUCUCAAUCAUGGGUAACACUUAGAGAGGACUUUUUGUUUAAGACUAACUGUGUCGUUAUGUUCACAUUUUUCUUUUCUUUUUUGCACCAUUUGAUGUAGAUGUCAAGAAAAACAAAAAAAGGAACCGUUGAAAGAUCAAAGAUGAGAAUAUUACAUACUUCAAUAUGUUCUUAUCUUGAUAAGGUAUUGGCUUAACUUAUGAGCCUAAAGAUCACCCUCUAAUGCUGCCGGCCAUCAUCAUCAGCAUUCUAUGACUAGUGGCCUUCUUAUUAUGUGGCUAUAGCCACACUACGAACAUCGCCUGUGUUGUGUACCCCUUGCAUCACCUCCCAUUGUAGCACCCACUCCCUCCCCAUAGUCGCAACCCAUGAUUCUGCGGCAACGGGUCCAAACCAUCCCCAUCUACUGAAACCAUUGCAAUCAACUAUUCUAGCUCUGAACCAUUAAUACCAUUCCUGUCAAUACCACGCAUCAAAUGGAUCAGUUUCCUGUGGUUUUGUGACACUAUAACAACAUCCACAACAUGCUCCUUAGAACUCCACCGUGACAAUGACGAGAAGCUUAAGACUCAUGGAUUACGAGCCGGACAAGAAGGUGCUAAGAAAGCAAUUGGGUUUGUUGAGGUCCCACUUACCACUUAUGAGUUAAGAGCACCACUUAUUUGAUUUGGUAAUUGCUCCACAUGUGACCAGCUAUGUGUGCUACUACAUGUGCUUUUGGUCAUUCAUUUGGAUUCUAAUGUAGUUGACAUUAUCAGUACUGAAGCCUUUUUGACUUGUUUCUCACAUUCGUCAUUCAGACAUUACCCCUUCCCAAGUUAGUAUCUAUUUCAUAUUCAUCUUUCUUGUGUUAUAAUGUGUGGGAAGGCAAUUCCAUAGGAUGGAACGAGAUGGAAGCGUGUUAGUUAGCAGGUAUCGGAUAUUAAUAAGAUUCCUGUCAUCAAAUUUAUAGGAGUCAAUGUCCUAUCCGUCUUAUAGUCCCUAAUCCUCGCUGGGAUUUCCUCAUAUGCCUGUUUCAAUGCUUAAAUGUACGCUCACUCUGCUGCUUGUUGGCUUCUAACAUCCAUGACAGCUAGCCUAUUAGCUUUAGUAUCUGUAUCCCAUUAGCUUAUUAGGUUGAUCACUUUUCCUUUUCUAGCCUGUGAUCCUUUGUGGAAUCCCAUGGCUUCUAACUAAUUUUCAGACCGUAGUAUGGAUGAGGGACACUUUAAAUUCGAUUAUCUGCUACUUGAGUGCAGGAUGAAUCCACAAGAUCGUUGAGACCUGGGGAAGCAAAUAUGCAUAGCCACCUGUGGGUGAGAGAACACGCUUCAGUAGUAUUGUGCUUCUAGUAAAAAGUCUAAAGACUAAAGAAUUUGUUCUAGCUCGUCAGCUAAAUCAAACAAUAUUACAGGAUCAUUUGUCAUUGCUUUGACUUGCAAUGGAUUGCUGCCAUACCUUUCCAUUGGAGUAUUUGGUAAUGGUGCCUAUCUGGACAUAAAUUACAUGCUUUCGCAUUGAUAGGGAAGCAAGAAGGGGUUAAAGGGUACUGGAAAGGCAACCUUCCUCAAGUCCUUUGCAUUGUUAGCUUUGAAUUUGUUCUUCGAUAAGCUUUUUCCUAUCAGGAAAAUGCCUUUUCGCCUUUUGUGGUGCCUCUCAAACAAUGAAACAACCACGCGCUUCUUUUGUUGGUGGAUCGACUGAAUCAAGCCCAACAUGCAAAAAAGCACUAUAUUCUUUGAUGUGGUGGAGGCAGCUUACAAAGAGGCUCUACGACUAGUCCUUCCUAUCCCUGAAGGCUCUCUCCCAGUAAAAUAUCUAGGAGUUCCUUUGAUCUCUAUGAGGCGCCGUGCUCAUGAUUGUGCUCAGAUGAAGGAAAAGACUUUGGUCAGAAUACAAUCUUGGUCCAAUAAAACCCUUACCUAUGGUGGUCGGCUCCAACUCAUACAAUUUGUUCUAUUUCGCAUUCAAAUCUACUGGUUCUCUAUUUUUUUUUUGCCUCAACGGGUGCUAAAUGACAUUGAACAGAUAUUACGAUCCUUCUAAUGGUCUGGUCCUGAUUUAAAGCACUCUAAUGCUAAGGUGGCAUGGCAUGCGGUGUGCGUCCCUAAAGAGGAAGGUGGGGUGGGCCUUCGUAUGCUAAAAACUUGGAAUAAGACUUCUAUGAUGCGUCAUUUGUGGGCUAUUUGCAUGAAGGCAGAUACUCUAUGGAUUAAAUGGAUUCACACAUUUAUUUUAAGGAAUCAAAGUGUAUGGAGGGUAAAAAUUCCUCAGGAGGCUUCUUAGACUGUUAGAAAACUUCUCAGAUGAGCUUCAACCUUGGAUCAAAUACAUUAUCGGUGAUGGUAAGUCUACAUAUCUUUGGGUUGACAACUGGCAUAAUUUGAGUCCUCUUUGCAAAAGAUUUGGUGAUUCUAGGGACUUCCAUGUGGGUAGGCCGUUAUCUGCCGAGGUUUCUUCAAUCAUUCAUAAUGGUGUUUGGCAGUGGCCUAGACCAAGGAGUGCUAUUACCAUGGAGAUUGUAUCAAAUUCUGAUCCCUAACGUCUCUGUACCUGACUGUGUGCGAUGGACUUUGUGUAAAUCUGGAGUAUAUAGUGCAAAAUCAGCAUGGCAGGGAAUGAGGCAAGUCUCUCCUUUGGUCCCAUGGGCUAAGGGUGUCUAGUUCUCACACCAUGUGCCACGUUGGGCUUUUAUUGAGUGGCUGGCGUUUCUGGGCAGACUUUCCACUAAAGAUAGACUUUAUAGCUGGGGAGUGGUUAGUGAUCAAAGAUGUGUGCUCUAUCAAGUUGAAAACGAAUCACAUGAACACUUGUUUUUUGCUUGUGCAUAUUCUAGUGCAGUGUGGGAUACACUCUUACAAAGGAACAAUAUAUUUAGACAGAGUGCUACUCUUGCUAACAAGAUGGCUUGGGUUGUCAAUCAUAGAGCUGGCAAUUCAUGCUUAUGCACAGUGUACAUACUUUCUUUGGCUGCCUCCAUUUACUGGAUUUGGAGAGAGAGGAACAAGAGGAUUUUUCAGGGGCAAAGGGCCUCUGCUUUGAGUCUUAGUACUCUGAUCAUUGAAGAGAUUAGAGCUUGCUUGUGUUCAUGGCAAGGUGUGAAGCCUUGUGAUACUACUCGUUUGGUAGCUAGGACAUGGUGUCGCUAUAGAUUUUUUGAUCAAAUGUAAAGUCUUGUUGCUUUAUUUUGUAUUUUUUUUCUGGGCAUAUAGGUGGUUGUUAGGUUGUGCCUGGUUCUCUUUUUUGUAAUGUUGGAUC